rnacentral:rRNA from 1 species
GACGAACGCUGGCGGCGUGCUUAACACAUGCAAGUCGAACGGUGAAGCGCCUUCCUUUUUGGUGGGUGUGGAUGAGUGGCGAACGGGUGAGUAACACGUGAGUAACCUGCCCCCUUCUUCUGGAUAACCGCAUGAAAGUGUGGCUAAUACGGGAUAUUCUGGGUCUGUCGCAUGAUGGGUCUGGGAAAGAUAUUGUUUCGGUGGGGGAUGGGCUCGCGGCCUAUCAGCUUGUUGGUGGGGUGAUGGCCUACCAAGGCGGUGACGGGUAGCCGGCCUGAGAGGGUGGACGGUCACACUGGGACUGAGACACGGCCCAGACUCCUACGGGAGGCAGCAGUGGGGAAUAUUGCACAAUGGGCGCAAGCCUGAUGCGGCGACGCCGCGUGAGGGAUGGAGGCCUUCGGGUUGUGAACCUCUUUCGCCAGUGAAGCAGGCCUGCCUCAUUUGUGGGUGGGUUGACGGUAGCUGGAUAAGAAGCGCCGGCUAACUACGUG